AGCGAACGCUGGCGGCAGGCUUAACACAUGCAAGUCGAGGGUAGCUGCCGACGGGUGAGUAACGCGUGGGAACGUACCUUUUGGUUCGGAACAACACCGGGAAACUUGUGCUAAUACCGGAUACCGAAAGAUCGGCCCGCGUCUGAUUAGCUAGUUGGUAGGGUAAUGGCCUACCAAGGCGACGAGCAGUAGCUGGUCUGAGAGGAUGAUCAGCCACAUUGGGACUGAGACACGGCCCCAACGCCUGCGUGAGGCAGCAGUGGGGAAUAUGGGACAAUGGGGGAAACCCUGAGCCAGCCAGGCCGCGUGAGUGAUGAAGGCCAUAGGGUUGUAAAGCUCUUUUGUGCGGGAAGCGGUACCGCAAGAAUAAGCACCGGCUAACUUCGUGCCAGCAGCCGCGGUAAUUC
rnacentral:rRNA from 1 species